rnacentral:lncRNA from 1 species
UUUAGGUAAAAUUUGUAUGCUAAUUAUUUUGAGGCAUCUGGCUUUCCUGGAUAAAUUUACCUAUUACACAUAGUGGGGCUAGAUAAUAGAUGUAGUGUGUAUUGGAUAUUUUAGUAUUUAGCCCAAGCCGAAAAGGGAUUAUUUGUUCAAAGACGUGGUCACUUCGCACGCUAGGCAGCGCUGUGUAUGAGGUCUAUAUAGGGAGUAUUAUUUGGAUUAGAGAAGCUCCAUAGGAGAGCAUAGCGUGGUUGACCGUAGUAAAAACCCCGAUAGUCUUAAGCGGUAAGUAAUUCAUGCAAUGAUUAGAUUCUUUAUGUAUUGAGGGACAGACAACCAGUGUCUUAAUUUUAUUUAGUGUUUAUUGAAGCCCGUUGGCUAGGGGUUUAUUCUUGAUUUGUUGCUAAGCCUCCUACAAUGUAGAUGACAUUGCAAGCUAACUUCUAGGCUAUGUUAUAAGUGGUAAAAGCCUGUUUAAAUAAAAUCAGUAACAAACUUAUUGAAAUAUUUAUAUUAUACCAGGGGGUUACGAGAAGAACCUAGUUGAAAUAUAUUUAUUGAUAUGGAACAGAUUUAGUGAUUCAUAGCACCGUACGAGAUGACAAUAUUACUUCGAUGGAUGCAACUGUCAAUUGGGAAUUGAGUAGGCAAUGGGUUUAGCAACCGAGAAUAAACGUUUAAAUAAAUUCAUUGUAAUAAGUGUCUAAUGAGUUUUGUUUUUAUUUUAGGGGUUUUUAUUUUUAUUUUUAUUUUUUUUUGGAGUUUUGGAGUUCGUUUUACUUGGAGUUUUCGUUUUUGGAUUUUUGUAUGUGGUUUCUGGUUUUACUUUUUGUGGAUGUUUUUGGUUACAUUUGGAUGCUAAGAGUCGUCAUUGGAUACAAGUAUAUGCGGUGAAGAAGAUUUCUACUAACGAAUUGUAGUUUGUUACCAGACUAUGGAGGAUAUCAGGUUUUUAUAACAAUGUUAAACAUUUAAAUUCAUUUGUCUUAUUUAUUUUAUAUUAUUUAAUGAUAGUAAAUAUUUUAGGUUCUUUUUUUGUUAACAAAUUAACGUGUUCCUUUUUUUUAUUAUUAUUAUUAAAAUUUAUUGGGGAUAGUCAUACAUUCAACUUUAUAUACAUAUAACUUAUUAUAGAGGUCAUUAUAGUACAUUACUUUUUAGAUUUGUAUUAGUGGCACUCAUGAGCUCAUGCGGCAACUAUAGGGUAGGCACUAGUAUCGCCAAUGUUUAAAAUAUUUCUAAUCUGUAAAUUUAAAUUAUUUUGAUAUUCAUUUCCUUAGCCACUUUAUGCUACCAAUGACUGGACUUGUUUAUUUUCAUAUUUAUUUGUGUUGCAACUGUUUAAUAAAUAAAUGUAAGUAAA